GUGCCAGCAGCCGCGGUAAUACAGAGGGUGCAAGCGUUAAUCGGAAUUACUGGGCGUAAAGCGCACGUAGGUGGCAUAUUAAGUUGUCUGUGAAAGCCCCGGGCUCAACCUGGGAGGGUCAGGCAAUACUGGCAAGCUAGAGUACUUUAGAGGGUAGUGGAAUUUCUGGUGUAGCGGUGAAAUGCGUAGAGAUCAGAAAGAACACCUGUGGCGAAGGCGGCUACCUGGAAGGAUACUGACACUGAGGUGCGAAAGCGUGGGGAGCAAACAGGAUUAGAUACCCCAGUAGUCC
rnacentral:rRNA from 1 species